CGCGAUCGCCCCCUCUUCCCCUCCCUGUUAAAUACACAAAUAUAUUAUAUUCAAUAUGAAUCGAGUCUGUUUCCAGCAGAAAAAAAACAUACAAAAAAAAGUGGAAGGACUGGGCGCAGGGUAGGAGGGCCGGAGUCCAGUGUGGUUUGCGGCGCCCCUAGGUCCCAGGGUGGGUGCCCACCGCCUGCUCCCUGGACCCCAGUGGGAGGCGUGUCCCUUGACCCCAAGCAGCAGCUGACAGCCGUUGCUGACGUGGGUCAUGACCUUCUGUUUGAGCUGGGCCACCUGCUCCCGGAGGAGGCCGG
rnacentral:lncRNA from 1 species